rnacentral:rRNA from 1 species
GACGAACGCUGGCGGCGUGCUUAACACAUGCAAGUCGAACGGAAAGGCCCUGCUGUUGUGGGGUGCUCGAGUGGCGAACGGGUGAGUAACACGUGAGUAACCUGCCCUUGACUUUGGGAUAACUUCAGGAAACUGGGGCUAAUACCGGAUAGGAGCUCCUGCUGCAUGGUGGGGGUUGGAAAGUUUCGGCGGUUGGGGAUGUACUCGCGGCUUAUCAGCUUGUUGGUGGGGUAGUGGCUUACCAAGGCUUUGACGGGUAGCCGGCCUGAGAGGGUGACCGGCCACAUUGGGACUGAGAUACGGCCCAGACUCCUACGGGAGGCAGCAGUGGGGAAUAUUGCACAAUGGGCGGAAGCCUGAUGCAGCAACGCCGCGUGCGGGAUGACGGCCUUCGGGUUGUAAACCGCUUUCGCCUGUGACGAAGCGUGAGUGACGGUAAUGGGUAAAGAAGCACCGGCUAACUACGUG